UACGUAGGGUGCAAGCGUUAGUCGGAAUUACUGGGCGUAAAGCGUGCGCAGGCGGUUGUUCAAGUCAGAUGUGAAAGCCCCGGGCUUAACCUGGGAACUGCGUUUGAAACUGGACAGCUAGAGUUUAGCAGAGGGGGGUGGAAUUCCACGUGUAGCAGUGAAAUGCGUAGAGAUGUGGAGGAACACCGAUGGCGAAGGCAGCCCCCUGGGCUAAAACUGACGCUCAUGCACGAAAGCGUGGGGAGCAAACAGG
rnacentral:rRNA from 1 species